UAGGGAAUCUUCGGCAAUGGGGGGAACCCUGACCGAGCAACGCCGCGUGAGUGAAGAAGGUUUUCGGAUCGUAAAGCUCUGUUGUUAAGGAAGAACGAGUGUGAGAAUGGAAAGUUCAUGCUGUGACGGUACUUAACCAGAAAGGGACGGCUAACUACGUGCCAGCAGCCGCGGUAAUACGUAGGUGGCAAGCGUUGUCCGGAUUUAUUGGGCGUAAAGCGAGCGCAGGCGGUCAAUUAAGUCUGAUGUGAAAGCCCCCGGCUCAACCGGGGCGGGGCAUUGGCAACUGGUUGACUUGAGUGCAGAAGAGGAGAGUGGAAUUCCAUGUGUAGCGGUGAGAUGCGUAGAUAUAUGGAGGAACACCAGUGGCGAAGGCGACUCUCUGGUCUGUAACUGACGCUGAGGCUCGAAAGCGUGGGUAGCAAACAGG
rnacentral:rRNA from 1 species